rnacentral:rRNA from 1 species
CCUACGGUGAGCAGCAGUGGGGAAUAUUGCGCAAUGGGCGAAAGCCUGACGCAGCGACGCCGCGUGAGGGAUGAAGGUCUUCGGAUCGUAAACCUCUGUCAGCAGGGAAGAACGGUCACUGUGCUAAUCAGCAGUGAAUUGACGGUACCUGCAAAGGAAGCACCGGCUAACGCCGUGCCAGCAGCCGCGGUAAUACGGAGGGUGCGAGCGUUAAUCGGAAUGACUGGGCGUAAAGCGCUCGUAGGCGGUAUGUCAAGUCAAGGGUGAAAUCCCCGCGCUCAACGUGGGAACUGCCUUUGAAACUGGCAAACUUGAGUGUGUUAGAGGAUAGUGGAAUUCCAGGUGUAGGAGUGAAAUCCGUAGAUAUCUGGAGGAACAUCAGUGGCGAAGGCGACUAUCUGGCACAUAACUGACGCUGAGGAGCGAAAGCGUGGGUAGCAAACAGGAUUAGAUACCCUUGUAGUC